UACGGGGGGAGCAAGCGUUGUUCGGAUUUACUGGGCGUAAAGGGCGCGUAGGCGGUCAGCACAAGUCAGUUGUGAAAUCUCCGGGCUUAACCCGGAAAGGUCAACUGAUACUGUGCGACUAGAGUGCGGAAGGGGCAACUGGAAUUCUCGGUGUAGCGGUGAAAUGCGUAGAUAUCUGGAGGAACACCGGUGGCGAAGGCGGCAUCCUGGACCAACACUGACGCUGAGGAGCGAAAGCCAGGGGAGCAAACGGG
rnacentral:rRNA from 1 species